rnacentral:ribozyme from 13 species
AACACGCUCGCAAUGAAAAAAAAAAAAAAAAAAAAAAAAAAAAAAAAAAAAAAAAAAG